rnacentral:rRNA from 1 species
UACGUAGGGUCCAAGCGUUGUCCGGAGUUACUGGGCGUAAAGCGCGCGCAGGCGGCGGUGCUGGCCCGGCGUGAAAGCCCCCGGCUCAACCGGGGAGGGUCGUCGGGGACCGCACCGCUUGAGGGCGGUAGGGCUGGUGGAAUGCCUGGUGUAGUGGUGAAAUGCGUAGAGAUCAGGCGGAACACCCGUGGCGAAGGCGGCCAGCUGGGCCGUCCCUGACGCUGAGGCGCGAAGGCGUGGGGAGCGAACGGG